UGAUUAAAGAAGAAAAAUCUCCAUUUAUAGAUUUACAAUCUACUACUUUUAUCAGCCAUUUAAUC
rnacentral:tRNA from 1 species